UAUACAAUGAAGAGUUUGAUCCUGGCUCAGGAUGAACGCUAGCGGCAGGCUUAACACAUGCAAGUCGAGGGGUAACAUUGUGCUUGCAC
rnacentral:rRNA from 2 species